UCGUCGCUGGCUCCUCGAUUAAACAAUGGAAAUGUUAAUUAUCGUGUAAUUGAAAUUUCAAAGUUGUUUCGAUAAACUAUCGUGAUUUAGACGUUCUCGUGCUAUGUUUGCGACGAAGAAGACAAGUACCGACGGCACGUGAACACAAGUUGUCGCAGAGCGAGGGCUUGCGUCAUUUCUAUGGGCAUCGUUGCUGUAACCGAGCUUCGAAUUUUCAAGAAACCAGCCAAAGGACACCGUGCCGUAACGAACAAAAAUUUGUCCGAAUACAGAAGUCGAAGAAUUGAAUUUUUUGCCGCGUCGUCCCGCUUGCCCGACCACCGCGUGCACAGUUUUAGGUUUCUUCGGAGGAACAACACCCUGAUGCGCGGACCCCUUCCACGUUGCUCCGUGGGGCACCGUUCCGAACGGUCGAACGAGGAUGCGCUGCUUUUGGAAACCGAACGGAGCCACGGAGGAGCCUCGACUGUUUAUUCCGUGAAUACGGGUGCCCGUGCAGGGAAAUAGA